UACGGAGGGAGCUAGCGUUGUUCGGAAUUACUGGGCGUAAAGCGCGCGUAGGCGGCUUUGUAAGUUAGAGGUGAAAGCCCGGGGCUCAACCCCGGAAUUGCCUUUAAGACUGCAUCGCUUGAAUCCGGGAGAGGUGAGUGGAAUUCCGAGUGUAGAGGUGAAAUUCGUAGAUAUUCGGAAGAACACCAGUGGCGAAGGCGGCUCACUGGACCGGCAUUGACGCUGAGGUGCGAAAGCGUGAGGAGCAAACAGG
rnacentral:rRNA from 1 species